CCCUAUGGGGCGCACCAACGACGAAAUCGCUUUGCCUCCGAGACCGGUCGAAGCCUACAAGGGCGCCAUGGGCGAUGUGCUGUUCAUUGCGGGAGCCGCCAAUUAUUACGGAGCUCCUUAUCUGGCGUCCGGAUCUUUUAUGAAAUCCGGCGGCGGAUAUGCGAGGCUCGCCGCGCCGCGAUCGAUUAUUCCGGUGAUCGCAAAGCACGGACGGGAAAUUGUGUACCUGCCGCAGGAGGAAACCGCGGCGGGCAGUAUUGCGCUGAACAAUAAAAAAGCGUUGCUCGACUAUUCCGCCAGGGUGGACAUGGUGGUCAUUGGACCGGGACUUUCCCUGCAGGAAGAAACCAUACGGCUCGUCAAUGAAUUGGCGGGGGAGC
rnacentral:rRNA from 1 species